AGGGGGGGCAAGCGUUGUUCGGAAUUACUGGGCGUAAAGGGUUCGUAGGUGGCCAACUAAGUCAGACGUGAAAUCCCUCAGCUUAACUGGGGAACUGCGUCUGAUACUGGUUGGCUUGAGUGCAGGAGAGGAACGCGGAAUUCCAGGUGUAGCGGUGAAAUGCGUAGAUAUCUGGAGGAACACCGGUGGCGAAGGCGGCGUUCUGGACUGCAACUGACACUGAGGAACGAAAGCCAGGGGAGCAAACGGGAUUAGAUACCCCGGUAGUCCUGGCCCUAAACGAUGAAUGCUUAGUGUGGCGGGUAUCGAUCCCUGCCGUGCCGAAGUUAACGCGAUAAGCAUUCCGCCUGGGGAGUACGGUCGCAAGGCUG
rnacentral:rRNA from 1 species